AUUAUUACUUUAUAUUUGGUGGCGGUUCCUUUAAUUCUUUCUGGAAUUCUUUCAAUCCCUGGAGGAGUACCACAGGAGGGGCCUGGCAGUGUUUCACCCCCCAUGUCACAUCUCUAGGGCCCUACUUUCCAACUUGAGAAAGCUUAAGCAGCCUGCUCAAGGUCAGCCAGCUAGUUGGCAGCAAAGCUCACACUGGAAUCCAGCUUUUACUCCAGCAGCCUCUCCUCUGGCAACCUUGUUAACCUAGUCUCCAAGGGCUGGGCUGUGGGUUCCUUUGAUUCUUUCCGGACCGCCUGAGGGUGCAUGGAUAUAGUUAACAUCGCGUGUGUCAGUAUCUUAUCUCCUGUCACGUGUAGAGGAACCCAGUUUCCCAACUUUCAAAGAGGUUAAACGACUUGCCCAAGAUCAUCCAUCUGGUCUGUACCAAAGCCCCUACAGGGUUCUGACUCAAGAGCCACACUCACUCAACUCUGCGCUGCUCUCGAAUUCCUUUUAGUUUUUCCAGAACCGAUGAAGCUGCUGCAGCUAUACUUCACCCUGAGUUUAAUCUGUAAGGACAACAGUUCCCAAGGGAAAGUUACAGAGCCGGCGAGACGCUCCAGCAACUACAGGUCAGAUCUGAGGUUCAGCGGAUCCCUAAGUUUGCCAGGCCAAGGUUUCCAGGUGCUGAGAUCGAAUGUGUAUGAGGGCCAGUUUUCGGAGAGGAGAGCUGCUCACCGGCUGCUGGCUGGCUCCACCCAGUUCACUUAACACCUUUGACUUGUCUGCACUGCAGUAUGGUGCUGGGCCCUGCUACAGUGGUCCCUUUAAAAAUCAUCAGUACAAUAUUGUGAGAGAGCGUCAGCUGUAUUUAAAAUUAUUUCCCACAUUACAUAAGAAGUAACCCUGGUCUUACGUUGUUGAAAACUGCACAGUGUAGAGCUUUGAGAAGUUCCCCCAUAGUCCCCCGCACUCCUGUGCUCCUGUGAACUGUCUUCUUUCAGGUUUUUUUCCCCCUUUGUAUGCACUUUGUUAUAUUUCCAUAUUCCAAUUGAGGAAACUCAGGCUGAGAAAAGGCAAAAAAUAAACUACUCCUGAAGACCCUGUA